CACGUAGGGUGCGAGCGUUGUCCGGAAUUAUUGGGCGUAAAGAGCUCGUAGGCGGUGUGUCGCGUCGGCCGUGAAAACCUGCAGCUUAACUGUGGGCUUGCGGUCGAUACGGGCAUCACUGGAGUUCGGCAGGGGAGACUGGAAUUCCUGGUGUAGCGGUGAAAUGCGCAGAUAUCAGGAGGAACACCGGUGGCGAAGGCGGGUCUCUGGGCCGAAUACUGACGCUGACGGAGCGAAAGCGUGGGGGAGCGAACAGGAUUAGAAAACCCC
rnacentral:rRNA from 1 species